CGGUGGAGCAUGUGGUUUAAUUCGAAGCAACGCGAAGAACCUUACCAGGCCUUGACAUGCAGAGAACUUUCCAGAGAUGGAUUGGUGCCUUCGGGAACUCUGACACAGGUGCUGCAUGGCUGUCGUCAGCUCGUGUCGUGAGAUGUUGGGUUAAGUCCAUAACGAGCGCAACCCCUAUCAUUAGUUGCCAUCAGGUCAAGCUGGGGACUCUAAUGAAACUGCCUACGCAAGUAGUGAGGAAGGUGGGGAUGACGUCAAAUCAGCACGGCCCUUACGUCCAGGGCGACACACGUGCUACAAUGGCCGGCACAGCGGGAAGCGAGGCAGUGAUGCCAAGCGGAUCCCUUAAAGCCGGUCUCAGUUCGGAUUGAAGUCUGCAACUCGACUUCAUGAAGCUGGAAUCGCUAGUAAUCGCAGAUCAGCCAAGCUGCGGUGAAUACGUUCCCGGGCCUU
rnacentral:rRNA from 1 species